CUGGUCAGGACGAACGCUGGCGGCGUGCCUAAUACAUGCAAGUCGAACGGCUUUUCUAUGGAAGCUUGCUUCCACUGAGAAGAUAGUGGCGAACGGGUGAGUAACACGUGGGUAACCUGCCCAUAAGAGGGGGGAUAACAUCCGGAAACGGGUGCUAAUACCGCAUAGUUUUCUUGAUCGCAUGAUUGAGAAAGGAAAGACGGCCUUUGUGCUGUCGCUUAUGGAUGGACCCGCGGCGUAUUAGUUAGUUGGUGAGGUAACGGCUCACCAAGACGAUGAUACGUAGCCGACCUGAGAGGGUGAUCGGCCACAUUGGGACUGAGACACGGCCCAAACUCCUACGGGAGGCAGCAGUAGGGAAUCUUCCGCAAUGGACGAAAGUCUGACGGAGCAACGCCGCGUGAGUGAAAGAAGGUUUUCGGAUCGUAAAACUCUGUUGUCAGAGAAGAACAAGUUGGAGAGUAACUGCUCCAGCCUUGACGGUAUCUGACCAGAAAGCCACGGCUAACUACGUGCCAGCCGCCGC
rnacentral:rRNA from 1 species